GCCUAGCCCUAAACCUUGGUAAUAUAUCACAUACCCUACCCGCCUGGGAACUACGAGCACCAGCUUAAAACCCAAAGGACUUGGCGGUGCUUUAGACCCCCCUAGAGGAGCCUGUUCUAGAACCGAUAACCCCCGUUCAACCUCACCCUUCCUUGUUUAUCCCGCCUAUAUACCGCCGUCGUCAGCUUACCCUGUGAAGGCCUAAAAGUAAGCACAACUGGCACAACCCAAAACGUCAGGUCGAGGUGUAGCGCAUGGAAGGGGAAGAAAUGGGCUACAUUCCCUAUAUUAGGGAACACGAACGGCGCACUGAAAUACGCGCCUGAAGGAGGAUUUAGUAGUAAGCGGAAAAUAGCGUGUUCCGCUGAAAUUGGCCCUGAAGCGCGC
rnacentral:rRNA from 1 species